rnacentral:rRNA from 1 species
UACAGAGGGUGCGAGCGUUAAUCGGAAUUACUGGGCGUAAAGCGUGCGUAGACGGUUACAUAAGUCGGGAGUGAAAGCCCGGGGCUCAACCCCGGAAUGUCUUUCGAAACUGGCUGAGCUAGAGUGCGGAAGAGGCAACUGGAAUUCCCAGUGUAGCGGUGAAAUGCGUAGAUAUUGGGAAGAACACCUGAGGCGAAGGCGGGUUGCUGGGCCGACACUGACGCUGAGGCG